rnacentral:rRNA from 1 species
CAGUCGCCGCGGGAAUACGUAGGGUCCGAGCGUUGUCCGGAAUUACUGGGCGUAAAGAGCUCGUAGGUGGUUUGUCGCGUUGUUCGUGAAAACUCACAGCUUAACUGUGGGCGUGCGGGCGAUACGGGCAGACUAGAGUACUGCAGGGGAGACUGGAAUUCCUGGUGUAGCGGUGGAAUGCGCAGAUAUCAGGAGGAACACCGGUGGCGAAGGCGGGUCUCUGGGCAGUAACUGACGCUGAGGAGCGAAAGCGUGGGGAGCGAACAGGAUUAGAUACCCCAGUAGUCCCUGUCUCUUAUAC